UUACUUUGGCAGGAUAUAUACUAAAAUUGGAAUGAUGCAGAGAAGAUUAGUAUGGCUCCUGAGCAAGGACGACAUUCAGAUUUGGGAAGCAUUCCAGUAAAAG